rnacentral:rRNA from 1 species
UACGUAGGUGGCAAGCGUUGUCCGGAAUUACUGGGUGUAAAGGGCGUGUAGGCGGGAAUGUAAGUCAGAUGUGAAAUCCCAGAGCUUAACUCUGGAGCUGCAUCUGAAACUAUGUUUCUUGAGUGUCGGAGAGGAAAGCGGAAUUCCUAGUGUAGCGGUGAAAUGCGUAGAUAUUAGGAGGAACACCAGUGGCGAAGGCGGCUUUCUGGACGAUAACGUGA